rnacentral:rRNA from 1 species
UACGUAGGGGGCAAGCGUUGUCCGGAAUUAUUGGGCGUAAAGCGCGUGUAGGCGGUCCGCUAAGUCGGCUGUGAAAGUCGGGGGCUCAACCCUCGAAUGCCGGUGGAUACUGUCGGGCUAGAGUGCGGAAGAGGCGAGUGGAAUUCCUGGUGUAGCGGUGAAAUGCGCAGGUAUCAGGAGGAACACCUAUUGCGAAGGCAGCUCGCUGGGACGUUACUGACGCUGAGACGCGAAAGCGUGGGGAGCAAACAGG